UGCAAGUAGAACGCUGAAGGAGGAGCUGCUCUUCUGGAUGAGUUGCGAACGGGUGAGUAACGCGUAGGUAACCUGCCUGGUAGCGGGGGAUAACUAUUGGAAACGAUAGCUAAUACCGCAUAAGAGUAGAUGUUGCAUGACAUUUGCUUAAAAGGUGCAAUUGCAUCACUACCAGAUGGACCUGCGUUGUAUUAGCUAGUUGGUGGGGUAACGGCUCACCAAGGCGACGAUACAUAGCCGACCUGAGAGGGUGAUCGGCCACACUGGGACUGAGACACGGCCCAGACUCCUACGGGAGGCAGCAGUAGGGAAUCUUCGGCAAUGGACGGAAGUCUGACCGAGCAACGCCGCGUGAGUGAAGAAGGUUUUCGGAUCGUAAAGCUCUGUUGUAAGAGAAGAACGAGUGUGAGAGUGGAAAGUUCACACUGUGACGGUAUCUUACCAGAAAGGGACGGCUAACUACGUGCCAGCAGCCGCGGUAAUACGUAGGUCCCGAGCGUUGUCCGGAUUUAUUGGGCGUAAAGCGAGCGCAGGCGGUUAGAUAAGUCUGAAGUUAAAGGCUGUGGCUUAACCAUAGUACGCUUUGGAAACUGUUUAACUUGAGUGCAAGAGGGGAGAGUGGAAUCCAUGUGUAGCGGUGA
rnacentral:rRNA from 1 species